CGUGUAGGCGGCCUGUUAAGUCUGGUGUGAAAGCCCGGGGCUCACCCCCGGAAGGGCACUGGAAACUGGCAAGCUCGAGUCCCGGAGAGGAGGGUGGAAUUCCUGGUGUAGCGGUGAAAUGCGUAGAUAUCAGGAGGAACACCGGAGGCGAAGGCGGCCCUCUGGACGGUGACUGACGCUGAGACGCGAAAGCGUGGGGAGCAAAUA
rnacentral:rRNA from 1 species